ensembl:lncRNA
GGGUACCGGUACAGAGUCAAUGUGGAGGCUAUAUACAGGGUGUACCGGUACAGAGUCAAUGUGGAGGCUAUAUACAGGGGGUACCGGGACAGAGUCAAUGUGGAGGCUAUAUACAGGGGGUACCGGUACAGAGUCAAUGUGGAGGCUAUAUACAGGGUGUACCGGUACAGAGUCAAUGUGGAGGCUAUAUACAGGGUGUACCGGUACAGAGUCAAUGUGGAGGCUAUAUACAGGGUGUUACGGUACAGAGUCAAUGUGGAGGCUAUAUACAGGGGGUACCGGUACAGAGUCAAUGUGGAGGCUAUAUACAGGGGUACCGGUACAGAGUCAAUGUGGAGGCUAUAUACAGGGUGUUAUGGUACAGAGUCAAUGUGGAGGCUAUAUACAGG